rnacentral:rRNA from 1 species
CAGCAGCCGCGGGAAAACGUAGGUGGCAAGCGUUGUCCGGAAUUAUUGGGCGUAAAGCGCACGCAGGCGGAUAGGUCAGUCUGUCUUAAAAGUUCGGGGCUUAACCCCGUGAUGGGAUGGAAACUGCCAAUCUAGAGUAUCGGAGAGGAAAGUGGAAUUCCUAGUGUAGCGGUGAAAUGCGUAGAUAUUAGGAAGAACACCAGUGGCGAAGGCGACUUUCUGGACGAAAACUGACGCUGAGGCGCGAAAGCCAGGGGAGCGAACGGGAUUAGAUACCCCGGUAGUCCCUGUCUCUUAUACA